rnacentral:rRNA from 1 species
UACCCUACGGGGCGCAGCAGUGAGGAAUAUUGGUCAAUGGCCGAGAGGCUGAACCAGCCAAGUCGCGUGAGGGAAGACGGCCCUACGGGUUGUAAACCUCUUGUCGGGGAGCAAAGAGAGUCACGUGUGACUCAUUGAGAGUACCCGAAGAAAAAGCAUCGGCUAACUCCGUGCCAGCAGCCGCGGUAAUACGGAGGAUGCGAGCGUUAUCCGGAUUUAUUGGGUUUAAAGGGUGCGCAGGCGGAAGCGCAAGUCAGCGGUAAAAUUGAGAGGCUCAACCUCUUCCCGCCGUUGAAACUGCGUUU